AUGUCGACGUCGGGCAGAGCCAAGUCGGGGUCGGGCAGGGCGUCGACGGCGCAUUGCAACGAUGGGCAGCUGAUGGUGUGCGCGGCGGCGAUCAUCAGCGGGGCGGCGCCGUCGGCGUCGUGCUGCUCGAGCCUGCGGGCGCAGCAGGGAUGCUUCUGCCAGUACGCGCGCAACCCUGCGUACGGUGGGUAUAUUGGCAGUCCCACCGCCCACAGGGCCAUCGUCGCAUACCACGUCGCCGUUCCGAGCUGCUAG
rnacentral:rRNA from 1 species